ensembl:lncRNA
AACCAUUUACCAUGGUCCUACACAGUAGUUAUUGUAAAGAGAGAGAGAGAGAGAAAGUCUAUUUUGAGAGCGAUCAUAAUAUUUUUAUGGAAACAAUUCUAUAUAUUAAAUGACUUUGUUACAAUAUACAAAAUCUGUGUAUGUUCCUGCAAAAGGAUGCCCCUCUUUCUGAUGUAGUGCAUCUGCUUUCACAGUUCUGCUUCCUCUCUCAUCUGUAGCCACACCCACCGGAGGCCCCACAGCAGGAGCACCACCCCUCUCCAGCCAAUGGCAGCGCAGCACGGCCACGCCAUCACUCCUCAGUUUCCAAGGUAACCGGGCUGCUCUCCUGAAAGGCGCUACAUCAUCAGCAUCCGUCCGGCGAGGGCUGCUCGAGGCAGGCAGCCCUGCAGUGGAUCGUAUAGCAGGCACCUCCCUCACACACCGCACUGGAUGGAAAAAUGGAGUAGAUAGUGUUAUGCUAAACCAAAAAUCCCCGUCCUCAGGAUCACGCUGUGUUUCACCAUGAAUGUUGCUGUAUCACCGAUGGCCAGUGAGGCUUCUUCCCCUAUGAUAACCUCUGUGACUCCCACCCUAGAACCCGGCCCCAAUAAACAUGAUGAUCCGUGUGGGCCCAGCGUUAGCGGAGACGGGUCGACUCAAAAACAAGAUCCCUACCGCAGGUACCAAAAACCCCCUCCUCUCCACACAGGGGCCGAUUGGAAGGUGGUUCUGCAUCUGCCGGAGAUCGAGACCUGGCUGAGGACCACGACAGAGAGAGUCAGAGACCUCACACACUCUGUGCAGCAAGACAGCAUCAAUAGACAUGUGGAUGUGCACCUGGUACAACUCAAGGACAUCUGUGAAGACAUAUCCGAUCAUGUCGAGCAGAUCCACGCACUGUUGGAGACAGAGUUCUCCCUGAAGCUCCUGUCCUACUCCGUGAACAUCAUAGUGGACAUCCGGAGCGUGCAGCUCCUCUGGCACCAGUUGCGAGUGUCCGUGUUGGUUCUGAAAGAGAGGCUUCUCCAGGGCCUCCAGGACUCCAACGGCAACUACACCCGCCAGACUGACAUACUGCAAGCCUUCAGCCAGGAUCACGAUGAGGCUCGGCUGGACGCUUUGACAGAAGUGGACGACUCUGGUCAACUGACCAUUAAAUGCAGUAAGGACUACUUCUCCUUGGACUGCGGCAUCACUGCUUAUGAACUGAGCGACUACAGCCCUAUUGACGACCCCGAAGGUCGAGGGCCACGCUCCCUUUAUCCCGAGUUGGAGCAAGACUUUCCAGAACUGCUUCAGAGUGUGGAUCUCCUCAACAUUGCAGCCUCUAGACAAAACCAGGUGUCAUCUCCACCUGCAGAAGAGUCUGUUACCCCCACCCAGGAACCUCAAGAGACAAUCAGUGGUCCCACUAAAGAAGAAAGUGCACCUGAUUCAGCAAUGCAGGGAGACAGUGGCUUUGGCCUUUCCAAACGCCCUCUUCAAGGUGGCUUUAAGAGUGAUGUCUCUCCCACACAGCCUCUGCCUAAAAAGCCCAUGUAUCUGAGGGGUGAUGGGGACACAAGGUGCACUAGGUCUUCGCCUCUCCAGUACCAAGCUGACUUGAGCAGAAGCACACCCUCCCUUCUGGAUACACCAGAUCGCUCCAAGUUCUGGCUGGAGCUGGAAUCAGUUUAUCCAGGCAAUGGGAGUCAGUCCUACGAGAGUCUCCAUGCCGUGAAUGGAGGGAUCUUGCAGAUGAGUCUCAAGAGACCUUCUGUGUCCACUGAAGUUCCUCUGGAGAGACACUCAGCAGAGGCUGUGCAGGGAUUCCACACGCAGAAGCACUUGACAAACUUCAAGACUAUGCACUCCAAAGCCAAGCAGGCUUACAGUGACUCUUCCAGCCCACCACCAUCCUCAGGGGAGGACAUCUCAGACCCAGACCAGCGGGAAAUGUCAUCCAGCCCAGACGAUCAAGCUCCCACCACAGGUUCUCUCUGGAUCGUGAACCAGAAUGGUUUGUGCGUCUCCAACGCAUCGGGGAGCUCCAAAGAACACUGGUAUGGUUCGGAUGAGUUCCUCGCUCUUCCCGCCCAGCUGAAAAAGACAGAGAUGUUGGCAUUGAAGCUGGAAAGCCUUGCUCAGGUUUUACCACAAAGGGGCCUGGAGGAGUCCAUUCAGGAUGUGGAUGACUGGGAGCUCACUGAGGCCAACCCUGAUUGGGAGAGCAGCAGUGAUCUCCUUUUGCUUCACCCCUAUAAGAAGCCCUCCCGAGCCGGCCGCUUUUCACCUACCUCCUCGAGUGACGUGGCACCUUCCCUGGAUGACAGCAUCGAGUCUGGCCCACUCAGCGACCUGUUGUCUGAGGAUGAUGGGGCGCGAAGCACACCAGAAUCCAGGGGUAGAAAUAUAUCGGCUGGCCAGCCCAAUGCACCAAAGAUGAUGUUUCAGUGCACACCCUUGAUACAGCAACUGCUAGCAGAUAUUCACCACCAAGAGAACUACCAUGAUGUCUGGGCGAAGAUAGAGGGUUUUGUCAGCAAACUGGAUGAGUUCAUCUGUUGGCUGAGAGAUGCUCUAGAAACCACAGACAACUGGACGCCACCCAGAGCUGAUAUCGACAGCCUCAAACUCUACCUGGAAACUCACCUUAGUUUCAAACUCAACGUGGACAGUCACAGUGCCCUUAAAGACAGUCUCCUGGAAGAAGGACGGCAGCUCCUGGAGCUCAUCACCUCCCACAAAUCAGGACUGCGGGACAUGCUCCACAUGAUAUCUCACCAGUGGCAGGAGCUGCAGAGACAGAUCCGCCGUCAGCACAACUGGAUGCUGCGCACGCUGGACGCCAUCAAAACCCACAUCCUGUCCAGCGAGAGGGACGAGGAGGAGCGGGAAUCUCACAGUCAUCACGGCAGCCCCAAGUUCCUCUCUGGUAGCCUACGGCCAUGCUCUGCUCGAUCAUGCAAGUCUGUGGGAAACACUGGUAUGUUUGAGGCAGAGUAUCAGGAGCUCUGGGAUUGGCUGAUGGACAUGGAAUCCAUAGUGACGGACAGCCAUGAUCUGAUGAUGUCAGAGGAACAGAGGCAUCACCUGUAUAAGGGGAACAGUGUUGAGAUGUCCAUGUGGCUUCCUAAGAAGACGCAGCUUCUGGGUUGGUCUGAAUCUCUGAAGAGGAGCGGCACUGAACUUCCUGCUGACUUUGACCAGCGGCUGACGGCCCUCAGGAGCAAAUGGGAUCAACUCGAGAAAAUCCUGGCGGAGCAUGUGGAGCCCAGUGUGGGCCAGCGGAGUCAGCGUGAACUUCUGUCUCCAGACACCAAUAGGAUGGUGACCCAGCUGGAGAGCCGGAUAAAGGAGUUAAAGAGCUGGCUCAGAGACACUGAGCUCUUCAUCUUCAAUCUGAAUCUCAGACCAGACGCACAACAAUGUGAGAGCGGCACUCAAGAUGCUGAUGACCCACAACACGACCCACAGGACACCAAACAGCUGCAGCACUUCAAGGCUCUGUGUAUGGAGGUGCGGGGCAGACGGAAGGGCAUUUCCUCCGUGCUGAGGCUCUGUCAGAGGCUGCUGGAUGGGCCUGAACAUCAGAGCUCAGAGGCAGAGCGCCAGUCACUGCAGCUGCUGCAGGUCAACCUGGAGAGACGAUGGGAGGCCAUCGUCAUGCAGGUCCUUCAGUGGCAGACCAGACUGAAACGCUCUAAACAAGAUAACAUACGUUGUGAAUAUAAACAGGGUGGUACAUGCACAGGUAGUGCUGUCUUGAUAUCAACACUAUGGGCGGUUUAA